AUGAACGCUAGCUACAGGCUUAACACAUGCAAGUCGAGGGGCAGCGGUAUCGAAAGCUUGCUUUCGGUAGCCGGCGACCGGCGCACGGGUGAGUAACGCGUAUCGAACCUGCCUCAUACUCGGGAAUAGCCUUGCGAAAGUAAGAUUAAUGCCCGGUGUUUUCAGAGUCCCGCAUGAGGCUUUGAACAAAGAUUUAUCGGUAUGAGAUGGCGAUGCGUCCCAUUAGCUUGUUGGCGGGGUAACGGCCCACCAAGGCAUCGAUGGGUAGGGGUUCUGAGAGGAAGGUCCCCCACAUUGGAACUGAGACACGGUCCAAACUCCUACGGGAGGCAGCAGUGAGGAAUAUUGGUCAAUGGGCGGAAGCCUGAACCAGCCAAGUAGCGUGCAGGAAGACGGCCCUCCGGGUUGUAAACUGCUUUUAGUUGGGAAUAAAACGGGGCUCGUGAGCCCCCUUGCAUGUACCAUCAGAAAAAGGACCGGCUAAUUCCGUGCCAGCAGCCGCGGUAAUACGGAAGGUCCGGGCGUUAUCCGGAUUUAUUGGGUUUAAAGGGAGCGCAGGCGGGCCUUUAAGUCAGCUGUGAAAUACGGCGGCUCAACCGUCGAACUGCAGUUGAUACUGGAGGUCUUGAGUGCACACAGGGAUGCUGGAAUUCAUGGUGUAGCGGUGAAAUGCUCAGAUAUCAUGAAGAACUCCGAUCGCGAAGGCAGGCAUCCGGGGUGCAACUGACGCUGAGGCUCGAAAGUGCGGGUAUCAAACAGGAUUAGAUACCCUGGUAGUCCGCACAGUAAACGAUGAAUACUCGCGGUUUGCGAUACAAUGUAAGCCGCCAAGCGAAAGCGUUAAGUAUUCCACCUGGGGAGUACGCCGGCAACGGUGAAACUCAAAGGAAUUGACGGGGGCCCGCACAAGCAGUGGAGUAUGUGGUUUAAUUCGAAGCAACGCGAAGAACCUUACCAGGUCUUGACAUCCGAUGCAUAGCACAGAGAUGUGUGAAAUCCUUCGGGACAUCGAGACAGGUGGUGCAUGGUUGUCGUCAGCUCGUGCCGUGAGGUGUCGGCUUAAGUGCCAUAACGAGCGCAACCCUCAUCCUCGUUUGCCAUCAGGUGAUGCUGGGCACUCCGGGGACACUGCCAUCGUAAGAUGUGAGGAAGGUGGGGAUGACGUCAAAUCAGCACGGCCCUUACGUCCGGGGCUACACACGUGUUACAAUGGGCGGUACAGAGGGCAGCCACUGCGCGAGCAGGAGCCAAUCCUCAAAGCCGUUCUCAGUUCGGACUGGAGUCUGCAACCCGACUCCACGAAGCUGGAUUCGCUAGUAAUCGCGCAUCAGCCAUGGCGCGGUGAAUACGUUCCCGGGCCUUGUACACACCGCCCGUCAAGCCAUGAAAGCCGGGAGCACUUGAAGGCCGUGACCGCAAGGGUCGGUCUAGAGUGAUACUGGUAAUUGGGGCU
rnacentral:rRNA from 1 species